AAAUAAUGUACUUUAUAAAAUCAACAUCUGUGGAAGUGUGGAUAUUGUCCAGUGCGGGCCAUCAAGUGCUGUUUGUAUGCAUGACUUGAAGACACGCACUUAUCAUUCAGUGGGUGACUCUGUUUUGAGAAGUGCAACCAGAUCUCUCCUGGAAUUCAACACAACAGUGAGCUGUGACCAGCAAGGCACAAAUCACAGAGUCCAGAGCAGCAUUGCCUUCCUGUGUGGGAAAACCCUGG
rnacentral:lncRNA from 1 species